GAUGAACGCUGGCGGCGUGCUUAACACAUGCAAGUCGAACGAAGCACUUUGGACAGAUUCUUCGGAUGAAGUCCCUGGUGACUGAGUGGCGGACGGGUGAGUAACGCGUGGGUAACCUGCCUCAUACAGGGGGUUAACAGUUAGAAAUGGCUGCUAAUACCGCAUAAGCGCACAGUACUGCAUGGUACAGUGUGAAAAACUCCGGUGGUAUGAGAUGGACCCGCGUUGGAUUAGCUAGUUGCAGGUAACGCUACAGCGACGAUCCAUAGCCGGCCUGAGAGGGUGACGGCCACAUUGGGACUGAGACACGGGCCCAGACUCCACGGGAGGCAGCAAGUGGGGAAUAUUGCACAAUGGGGGAAACCCUGAAUGCAGCGACGCCGCGUGAGCG
rnacentral:rRNA from 1 species